UGAUCGAGACUACACUGAGCUUGCUAGA
rnacentral:sRNA from 1 species